rnacentral:piRNA from 1 species
UGGACCGCAUGCCUAGCUUGAUGCCUGCC